CGUGAAGCUGGAUUCGCUAGUAAUCGCGAAUCAGAAUGUCGCGGUGAAUACGUUCCCGGGCCUUGUACACACCGCCCGUCACACCAUGGGAGUUGGAAGCACCCGAAGUCGGUGACCUGACCGAAAGGGAGGAGCCGCCGAAGGUGAAGCCAGCGACUGGGGUGAAGUCGUAACAAGGUAUC
rnacentral:rRNA from 1 species